UGAGGGAAGGGCCGGAGCGGGAGAGCAGCUCAGGCCUGGAGAAUGGCUCAGGCUGUGCCUAGCGGCCACCAAGGCCAGCAGGAGGGGAUAAAGGAAACAGGGAGCCCAGCCUCUCCGAGACUCGCGUUCCUGCGACAUCUUUUCUCCGUACUCCGCGUCCGCAGUCCGCCAGAUCUCUCUGCAGAGUCCCGCACCGGGAGUCCUCUGCAGUGUCUCCCAUUCAGAGGACUCCUGUACUCCUUUCUGCAGCCCUGAUGCGGAGGGGUACAGAGAGCAGUUCUGGGCGGCUGCCCUUCUCCCCACGCACCCCUCCAGGAAGGGGCGGUCGUCAGAGCUUGCAGACAUGUUCCCCAGGAACCCUCAGGCUCGUGACCAUGAACCGCUGGCGCCCAGGCUCUGCCUCCUUUACCCACAUGGACUCGAUUCUGCUCUGCCUCCUCACUGGGCUGGGAGGUGACGGUCUCCCUGCCCCCUCCAGCAGAACAGCAAUGCUUCCGGUCCACACCUAGUGAUGGGUUCUAAGAGUGAGGUUUGAUCUUGGAAGGAGAGGCCUCCUCAAGGCUCACAACAUCCAGAGGGCCUGGUAUGGAGCUGCGGCCCCGAGCCAACCAACAUCAUGGUGACUCACGCUGCCCGUGGGUCUUACGCCUGUAGCUAUUGACUCUCUAGACCUUGUAGGUGAGGUCUAGGCGAGGCAGUGCCACAACGUUCCUCACACCACACCUUGAGCCUCUGUCCAUCCUGUUUCUAGCAGUCACCUCCCUGCCAGUCCUAUCCUGCUCUGGGUUUCUGUGGUAAACAGUUAUGGAAUGGCUCCCCACGUGUCUGAGCUUUCAUUUUCUUAUAGCAGUCAUCAAGUGGGCUCUGUCACGUCUCCUAGGACCCCUGAUGAUACUUUUGUCCACUGUAAGACUCUCGGACACUUGUGAUUAUAAUGGCAAUCAUUUUGCUAAAGGUUUGGUUGUGUUAAGCUGUGUGUAUGACAUCACUCACACACUCACACGCACACGCACAUACACACACACAUACCUACCUACCCUGUGGGAUCACAUGGAAACCCCUUUCCCUUCUGACACCUGCUCUGGCUCCCAGGCUUUAAGCUGGGCUGUGGCAGGCUCAAUGGAGAACAUAAGCAGAAGCUUCCACGGGUCCUGGCCAAGGAUUGGAUUCUCAGCCCUCCUCAGGUCACUGGGGUUCCUUCCUUCCAAUUAAUCCUCAGCUGGCCCCUCGGCCACUCUCUCUAAGAGAGAGGGCACGCAAGCCUGAAGCUUCCCCUCUAAAGGCCGUUUCCAACCUCUGUGCCUCCUAAGAGCCAGGACCCAAGCGGCUGUCACCAGGGUGCCUCACCAUGACCCCCUUCUGGGGACUCUGGGGCAGAUGACAGCUCACAGAAAAGACCUAGAGCCACGAGAUGGCCUGCGCCUUCAAAGCUUUGUUCCUAAGGGUCUGGCGUGUCUGUGGAGUGCCUCUCCUGCCCACGUGGUCCUGUGCCUCUUAGCCUCCCGCAGUGACAAGAAAAGCUGUGUCCAUUGGAAUGGAAAUGAGACUCGCUUCAGGGCACUCCAGUGGUCAGUGCUACUCUUGGGACUCAGUCCCUGGCUUGGGAAGGCCUGGAGGGAUUCGAGAACCAUGUGUGAACUGAAUUCUGGGUGUGGGUGUAGGGGUAGGAUUGGGACCCUAGAUUAUCCAGGGAGGUGCUCUGGGUGCUGCCCAUGCCUCUGAGAGGAGGACAAUGUAGUCACGUAUUAGUUAAACCAUCUAUGCUCCCCAUGCAAUCCCUGGGAGCCUGAAUAAUUGACAGUGUGGUCAGCAGCUGACCACUGAUUUCCAAGGGUGGUGUGAAUCAAUCCGGUCAACAUUUACUUCCCAGUCCCAGGAGGUCCAGAGGUCAAGGGUAAGAAGCAGUGAUCCCUCUUAGGUCUUAAUCACACAGUGACCCCUGAGAGUCAGAGGGGUGGUUCAUUUCUGCUAUGCCCAAGAAUAUCUGCAGGUUUUUUUGUUUGUUUUUUAAGUAGGAUCUCAUGUAGCCUAAGCUGGCCUCUAAUUCACUAUGCAGUCAAUAAAUGGUUUUGAACCUUUGA